rnacentral:lncRNA from 1 species
AUGUAUGAGAGAGGGCGUGUGUGUGUGUGUGUGUGUGUGUGUGUGUGUGUAGAGGUUGGGGAUCAUCCACAGAUCAGAGCACGGGGGCAGAGAACUUCUAAAGGGUUGGGCCCCCCCAUGGGUCACACCCUUCACCCUGGAGCCUGGAGGGCCUGUCUCUUGGACCCACCACCAGCUUCAACACCUCGAGCAGCCAGAGCCGUGCCCGUCACUGACCGGAGGAAGGUGGAAGAAGACACGGGACUUCUCCUGGUGGUGGCAGGCCCUCACGUCAGGUCCCAACAGGAGCCUCUGAGGCUGGCUGGACGCCUGCCACCAACAGCCUGGCUGGGUGGCUCUCUCAGGACAGGUGGGCCCUGUGGGAGCAGGAUGUGCAGAGGAACAAUGAGGCCUGAGCUGAACCCAGCCCUGCCGGGGCGAGCUGAGCCACCAGCGGGACAGCAGUCUGACUGA